rnacentral:rRNA from 1 species
UACGUAGGGGGCAAGCGUUGUCCGGAUUUAUUGGGCGUAAAGAGCGUGUAGGCGGCCAUGUAGGUCCGUUGUGAAAACUCGAGGCUCAACCUCGAGACGCCGAUGGAAACCAUAUGGCUAGAGUCCGGAAGAGGAGAGUGGAAUUCCCGGUGUAGCGGUGAAAUGCGCAGAUAUCAGGAGGAACACCGGUGGCGAAGGCGGGUCUCUGGGCAGUAACUGACGCUGAGGAGCGAAAGCGUGGGGAGCGAACAGG